rnacentral:rRNA from 1 species
UAGACGAGAUUCAAGAGUACGUGAAACCGUUCAGGGGUAAACCUGCGAAACUCGAAUGAACGAACGGGGAGAUUCAUCGUCACUCCGCGGCGUACGUGCGCGCGCCUCGAUGUCGCGUCCGCGUCGCCCUCGCGGCGGCCGUGACGCGACACGGGUCGCGCACGUCGACGUCCGCGGACGGCGUGCACUUCUCCCUCAGUAAUACAUCGCGACCCGUUCGAUGUCGGUCUAAGCGCCGUUCGGGAGCCCGGUUGCGCUCCUCUCGGGGACGCUGCCGGACCGCGACGUGCGCCGACCGGCUGUCGUACGGUAUCAUUGAAACAUUUGACGAAUCGCGCACGCGUACAUUUGAAACGCGUCCGGCCCGACGCAAGGCAACGUCGUAUUUCUCGUUAUUCUGCCCGAGUGCGAAUUCGAGUGCGGCGCGUCUGUUGUCGCCGCCGUGUAGUCUCGGACACGUGCGCGUCUCUGUCUGCGAUGAUUCAGUUUCGGGCACUCGCAGGACCCGUCUUGAAACACGGAG